GAACCCCCGGCCGCCCCCCGAGGGCAGGGGCAGGCAUCCCUACCCCAGCAGGUAGCCCAGCGCGCUCAGCUGCAGCAGCCGGUGCAGGAGCCCCACCCGCCGGUUCCGCGUCAGCGAGAACUUGGCCGUCUUGUAGUCGAGCAGGAGCCCGCAGGGCGAGCCCGGCAUGGCGGCACGGAGGGGGAAAGGCGGGCACGGAGCGGGGACAGAGGCCACGGGGUGCGGGGUUGGCGAACACCCGCGAGGAACUGAGGACUCGGCGGGUGGGGGCACCCCCGGCACUGCGGCUCGGCCCGCCCCCGUUGCCAUGGCAGCGGCGCGGCCCGGCCGGAGAUGGCGGCGGGCGGAGUGGGCCGCAACGAGCUGGGCGGGCCGUCCCCUCCGUCACCCUGAGCCCGAACCACAGCCACACAGUCACUGAGGGGUCUGGGUUGGAAGGAACCGUAAAGCCCAUCCAGCCGCACCCCCUGCCACAGGGAGGGACACUUUCCGCUAGACCAGGUUGUGUUUUAUAAUCACAAGGUCAUGGCCAUGCUUCUGUUUAACUGUAAAUAUUUUUGAAAUUAGAAUUCCCACUGACAGAGAGCAGGAUUCUGGGAGCAAUACAGGCUUCAAUGUCAAGGUCAGGAUUCAGAGCAUCUUCCUUCCUGUGCUGUCCAAAGAAGAGAUGCAAAUUAAAGUCCUAUGAAAAAAUACACCAAGGAGAAGAUCCACUUGGCUCUGCCUUGACACACAUGGAUUCAUUAGUCACUGAAGUCAGAGCUGGGUGGUUUUAGGCUCAAUAUACCUAUCAGCAUACCAUUUAGGAACCUAAAAACACCAGGAUAUCAAGCAUGCUGCCAUGCCCAGAGGCGCCUUGGCUCUUGUCCCAGCAAGGAUUGAAACCCACAGUGCUGCCCUAAAAUGCUUCCAGUCUAGCAAGGGAAGCAUGGGAUCAUGAGAAAUCAGCCAUCCUGGCUCCAGAGGAACUGCAACCCCUUCCCUCUGAUGGACGACUGAUGUUUCCUAACCUCAGACCAAGCUGUCAUUGCCUCAAGAAGUGUUUCUGAUCUCUUGCCUAAAUCUCCCUCAUGACAGUUGCAGUCCGUUGCUUCAUGCUGUGUCUCCUGUGCACAUGGGGAAGAUUUGUUCUCCUUUUAUAGAAUCUGUAAGGUUGGAAAAGACUUCUAAGAUCACUGA